CCAUCGUUAUCUUCUGUGGAGUUCUUCAUUCCCACAUCUGUGGACCUUAAAAUCCUACGGUUGAGUGCCUGCCUUGGAUCAGCAGUCGGUUCGUUACCUUGGUUCUCAGACGAUGCUUGCAACAACGCCAUGCGAUUCGCCCACUCUUGGAGAAAAUAAGAGAAGUAUCCCUGAAGGAUGAAAUAUCCUCAAAUAUGAAAAGGUCUGCUCUCUGAAGACCAACUGUCUCAGUCUGCUUUUUGCUGCUGUAACAGAAUACCACAGACUUGUAGGCAGAGAAGCCUUCAGAGAAGGAUCCUGACUCGGUGGUUUGUGCAGUGACAUUUGGCAGUGUUUGCUCGGCAAGAGAGCCUUUGAGGCUGCCCUCAUGCUGCUCAGUGGGCACACCAAGAACAAGAGCUGGCCAGGGAUGACGGACGCAUCUAGGCCUUCUCGGCCUAAGGGCAAGUCCCAUUCUUCCUUGAUAGGUCUUUAGAUGUACCAGUCAGCAAAUGUCAUCCCCCUCUGCAUUCACGUCAUGCUGUGCAGGGAAUGCUAAACAGAGGUAGAUCUAAACUUAGGAGUUAGGCUUCUUCUCCAUGGAGAUGUGGAUCUGCACAGACAAAGUGUCCAAGUGGGAUUUUC
rnacentral:lncRNA from 1 species